UCCCCAACUCCUUCUCCUCACCCGUCAGCGACUUGACAUCGUCAUAUUCCUCCCACUCACUCUUCGCCACAAGCUCAUUCAAUGCCUCCUCAUUCCAAGCCCGGCCCCCUGCUUCUUCGGCAGGUAGUCCAUCUCCACGAUGCUGCACGCUACGCUUGCUCGCAGACCUCGUAAUCCUGGCAUAUUCGGAGGGUGUCUGGCCAUCAUCGCCAUUGCUGCUAUCGGCGGGCACUUUGAUACCAGGAGCCAUUGAUGGCCCCGGCGUGGGUGUUCCCAGCCGCUGUGUCUGGCGUCUCCGUGACAUAUCUAGGUGUCCUUAUGGCGUUUGGGAUCGGAGUUUGCUUGGUUUUCUCUCACGCGACUGGCUGUGUGGGAUAGAAAGGCGGAUAAUAAGAAAAAGAAUUAGUUCACACCAGUCAAUUUAUUCAGAGGUUGUAUGCCACCCCAAAGAUUGACCAGAAGCUGGAUAUGUUAAAAUCAAAAUCAGAAGGAGGUAUAAAUAUAGCUCACGCGGAAUAAUCCAAACAUUUGAACAUUUUGCAAAUAAAAAUUAGAAUAGAAUGAAAAGAAAAGAAAAAAGGCGAGAGAGAAUUUAACAGCUACGGUAGUAAACCAACCAAAUUGGAAUAUUUCAAAGGACCUCUAACAAAAAGAGCAGAUGUAACUAACUAACUCCUCCAUUAACAAUCAUAUUCAGGGACAGAUGGGAAACAAAGGAAAUCCAAAGGAAAUCCCCCCCCCCCAGGAAGAAAAAGGCACAAAUAAGAGAGAA
rnacentral:sRNA from 1 species